GGAUCUUUUAACAUCUCAGAAUUUGCUAACCUUGCGCACUGCUGGGGAGCAUUACGAAGUACCACGCCAUCUUCGUCAGCACACGAACUACCAGGAGACGACAUGAGGUCCACGGCUACAGCAAUAGAAGAGACAGCGGGCCCUGCAGUCUGUUCCGAAGCUUUUUCCAAUGGACUCUCCCUGGCAUGAUACAACAUCAUCCAACUGUUUCUCGUCAGCAAAGAGCGGAAGAAUAAACGAAUCGGACAGAUCAACUGCAUCACCCAUUUUGCGAGACCGAGCGCGAGUGACCGCGCAUACAGGGAACACAUCAGGAUCAUUCCCAAGGAUAAAAUCAACACCUUUCACCGGAAGAGAAGGGCGAACAGCGACUCGUACAAACCCAGUACAUAAUUCGCUCUGCAGAUGUACUCGGUGCAGUGGCAC